rnacentral:tRNA from 5 species
CUGGUAAUUAGUUUAAUUAAAACAA